AACCAGUACCGUGAGGGAAAGGCGAAAAGAACCCCGGCGAGGGGAGUGAAAAAGAACCUGAAACCGUGUACGUACAAGCAGUGGGAGCCUCUUUUAUGGGGUGACUGCGUACCUUUUGUAUAAUGGGUCAGCGACUUAUAUUCUGUAGCAAGGUUAACCGAAUAGGGGAGCCGAAGGGAAACCGAGUCUUAACCGGGCGUUAAGUUGCAGGGUAUAGACCCGAAACCCGGUGAUCUAGCCAUGGGCAGGUUGAAGGUUGGGUAACACUAACUGGAGGACCGAACCGACUAAUGUUGAAAAAUUAGCGGAUGACUUGUGGCUGGGGGUGAAAGGCCAAUCAAACCGGGAGAUAGCUGGUUCUCCCCGAAAGCUAUUUAGGUAGCGCCUCGUGAAUUCAUCUCCGGGGGUAGAGCACUGUUUCGGCAAGGGGGUCAUCCCGACUUACCAACCCGAUGCAAACUGCGAAUACCGGAGAAUGUUAUCACGGGAGACACACGGCGGGUGCUAACGUCCGUCGUGAAGAGGGAAACAACCCAGACCGCCAGCUAAGGUCCCAAAGUCAUGGUUAAGUGGGAAACGAUGUGGGAAGGCCCAGACAGCCAGGAUGUUGGCUUAGAAGCAGCCAUCAUUUAAAGAAAGCGUAAUAGCUCACUGGUCGAGUCGGCCUGCGCGGAAGAUGUAACGGGGCUAAACCAUGCACCGAAGCUGCGGCAGCGACACUGUGUGUUGUUGGGUAGGGGAGCGUUCUGUAAGCCUGUGAAGGUGUGCUGUGAGGCAUGCUGGAGGUAUCAGAAGUGCGAAUGCUGACAUAAGUAACGAUAAAGCGGGUGAAAAGCCCGCUCGCCGGAAGACCAAGGGUUCCUGUCCAACGUUAAUCGGGGCAGGGUGAGUCGACCCCUAAGGCGAGGCCGAAAGGCGUAGUCGAUGGGAAACAGGUUAAUAUUCCUGUACUUGGUGUUACUGCGAAGGGGGGACGGAGAAGGCUAUGUUGGCCGGGCGACGGUUGUCCCGGUUUAAGCGUGUAGGCUGGUUUUCCAGGCAAAUCCGGAAAAUCAAGGCUGAGGCGUGAUGACGAGGCACUACGGUGCUGAAGCAACAAAUGCCCUGCUUCCAGGAAAAGCCUCUAAGCAUCAGGUAACAUCAAAUCGUACCCCAAACCGACACAGGUGGUCAGGUAGAGAAUACCAAGGCGCUUGAGAGAACUCGGGUGAAGGAACUAGGCAAAAUGGUGCCGUAACUUCGGGAGAAGGCACGCUGAUAUGUAGGUGAAGUCCCUCGCGGAUGGAGCUGAAAUCAGUCGAAGAUACCAGCUGGCUGCAACUGUUUAUUAAAAACACAGCACUGUGCAAACACGAAAGUGGACGUAUACGGUGUGACGCCUGCCCGGUGCCGGAAGGUUAAUUGAUGGGGUCAGCGCAAGCGAAGCUCUUGAUCGAAGCCCCGGUAAACGGCGGCCGUAACUAUAACGGUCCUAAGGUAGCGAAAUUCCUUGUCGGGUAAGUUCCGACCUGCACGAAUGGCGUAAUGAUGGCCAGGCUGUCUCCACCCGAGACUCAGUGAAAUUGAACUCGCUGUGAAGAUGCAGUGUACCCGCGGCAAGACGGAAAGACCCCGUGAACCUUUACUAUAGCUUGACACUGAACAUUGAGCCUUGAUGUGUAGGAUAGGUGGGAGGCUUUGAAGUGUGGACGCCAGUCUGCAUGGAGCCGACCUUGAAAUACCACCCUUUAAUGUUUGAUGUUCUAACGUGGACCCGUGAUCCGGGUUGCGGACAGUGUCUGGUGGGUAGUUUGACUGGGGCGGUCUCCUCCUAAAGAGUAACGGAGGAGCACGAAGGUUGGCUAAUCCUGGUCGGACAUCAGGAGGUUAGUGCAAUGGCAUAAGCCAGCUUGACUGCGAGCGUGACGGCGCGAGCAGGUGCGAAAGCAGGUCAUAGUGAUCCGGUGGUUCUGAAUGGAAGGGCCAUCGCUCAACGGAUAAAAGGUACUCCGGGGAUAACAGGCUGAUACCGCCCAAGAGUUCAUAUCGACGGCGGUGUUUGGCACCUCGAUGUCGGCUCAUCACAUCCUGGGGCUGAAGUAGGUCCCAAGGGUAUGGCUGUUCGCCAUUUAAAGUGGUACGCGAGCUGGGUUUAGAACGUCGUGAGACAGUUCGGUCCCUAUCUGCCGUGGGCGCUGGAGAACUGAGGGGGGCUGCUCCUAGUACGAGAGGACCGGAGUGGACGCAUCACUGGUGUUCGGGUUGUCAUGCCAAUGGCACUGCCCGGUAGCUAAAUGCGGAAGAGAUAAGUGCUGAAAGCAUCUAAGCACGAAACUUGCCCCGAGAUGAGUUCUCCCUGACCCUUUAAGGGUCCUGAAGGAACGUUGAAGACGACGACGUUGAUAGGCCGGGUGUGUAAGCGCAGCGAUGCGUUGAGCUAACCGGUACUAAUGAACCGUGAGGCUUAACCUU
rnacentral:rRNA from 1 species